rnacentral:rRNA from 1 species
AGGCUAAACCUUCAUACGUUCACUGGUAGGGAUACUGGUGAAGAAAGAGUUACCGUUGAGGUAGCUGCUGAAGGAUGAGCCUGCGGCCCAUCAGGUAGUUGGUGAGGUAACGGCUCACCAAGCCGAAGACGGGUAACCGGUCUGAGAGGAUGUCCGGUCACACUGGGACUGAGACACGGCCCAGACUCCUACGGGAGGCAGCAGCAGGGAAUCUUGGGCAAUGGGCGAAAGCCUGACCCAGCGACGCCGCGUGGAGGAAGAAGUCCUUCGGGGCGUAAACUCCUGGACUGGGGGACGAGGAAGGACGGUACCCCAGUAGAAAGGGACGGCUAACUACGUGCCAGCAGCCGCGGUAAAACGUAGGUCCCGAGCGUUGUUCGGAUUCACUGGGUGUAAAGGGCGCGUAGGUGGUUGUCUGUGUCUCAUGUGAAAACACAGGGCUCAACUCUGAGAUUGCGUGGGAAACUAGGCAGCUAGAGGACGGUAGAGGGGAGUGGAAUUCCCGGUGUAGCGGUAAAAUGCGUAGAUAUCGGGAGGAACACCGGUGGCGAAGGCGGCUCUCUGGGCCGAUCCUGACGCUGAGGCGCGAAAGCUAGGGGAGCGAGCCGGAUUAGAUACCCGGGUAGUCCUAGCCGUAAACGAUGGGUGCUAGGUGUUGGGGGGUAAAGACCCUUCAGUGCCGAAGCCAACGCGAUAAGCAUCCCACCCGGGGAGUACGGCCGCAAGGUUGA